rnacentral:rRNA from 1 species
AUUGAACGCUGGCGGCAUGCCUUACACAUGCAAGUCGAACGGUAACAGGUCUUCGGAUGCUGACGAGUGGCGAACGGGUGAGUAAUACAUCGGAACGUGCCUAGUAGUGGGGGAUAACUACUCGAAAGAGUGGCUAAUACCGCAUGAGAUCUACGGAUGAAAGCAGGGGAUCGCAAGACCUUGUGCUACUAGAGCGGCCGAUGGCAGAUUAGGUAGUUGGUGGGUUAAAAGCUUACCAAGCCGACGUUCUGUAGCUGGUCUGAGAGGACGAUCAGCCACACUGGGACUGAGACACGGCCCAGACUCCUACGGGAGGCAGCAGUGGGGAAUUUUGGACAAUGGGCGCAAGCCUGAUCCAGCAAUGCCGCGUGCAGGAUGAAGGCCUUCGGGUUGUAAACUGCUUUUGUACGGAACGAAAAGCCCUGGGUUAAUACCCUGGGGUCAUGACGGUACCGUAAGAAUAAGCACCGGCUAACUACGUGCCAGCCGCCGCCGUAAGAC